rnacentral:rRNA from 1 species
UGGGGAAUAUUGGACAAUGGGGGGAACCCUGAUCCAGCCAUGCCGCGUGUGUGAAGAAGGCCUUAUGGUUGUAAAGCACUUUAAGCGAGGAGGAGGGUACUGGUAUUAAUACUACCAGGUACUGGACGUUACUCGCAGAAUAAGCACCGGCUAACUCUGUGCCAGCAGCCGCGGUAAUACAGAGGGUGCGAGCGUUAAUCGGAUUUACUGGGCGUAAAGCGUGCGUAGGCGGCUAAUUGAGUCGGAUGUGAAAUCCCCGAGCUUAACUUGGGAAUUGCAUUCGAUACUGGUUAGCUAGAGUGUGGGAGAGGAUGGUAGAAUUCCAGGUGUAGCGGUGAAAUGCGUAGAGAUCUGGAGGAAUACCGAUGGCGAAGGCAGCCAUCUGGCCUAACACUGACGCUGAGGUACGAAAGCAUGGGGAGCAAACCGG